AUGGGCGCAGCCUGAUGCAGCAACGCCGCGUGUAGGGAUGACGGCCUUCGGGUUGUAAACCUCUUUCGGCGGGGACGAUGCUGACGGGACCGUUGGAGGAAACCCCGGCUAACUUCGUGCCAUCCCCCCCGGUAAUGAAAUA
rnacentral:rRNA from 1 species